GCAGUCGAACGGUAACAGGAAACAGCUUGCUGCUUCGCUGACGAGUGGCGGACGGGUGAGUAAUGUCUGGGAAACUGCCUGAUGGAGGGGGAUAACUACUGGAAACGGUAGCUAAUACCGCAUAACGUCGCAAGACCAAAGAGGGGGACCUUCGGGCCUCUUGCCAUCGGAUGUGCCCAGAUGGGAUUAGCUAGUAGGUGGGGUAACGGCUCACCUAGGCGACGAUCCCUAGCUGGUCUGAGAGGAUGACCAGCCACACUGGAACUGAGACACGGUCCAGACUCCUACGGGAGGCAGCAGUGGGGAAUAUUGCACAAUGGGCGCAAGCCUGAUGCAGCCAUGCCGCGUGUAUGAAGAAGGCCUUCGGGUUGUAAAGUACUUUCAGCGGGGAGGAAGGGAGUAAAGUUAAUACCUUUGCUCAUUGACGUUACCCGCAGAAGAAGCACCGGCUAACUCCGUGCCAGCAGCCGCGGUAAUACGGAGGGUGCAAGCGUUAAUCGGAAUUACUGGGCGUAAAGCGCACGCAGGCGGUUUGUUAAGUCAGAUGUGAAAUCCCCGGGCUCAACCUGGGAACUGCAUCUGAUACUGGCAAGCUUGAGUCUCGUAGAGGGGGGUAGAAUUCCAGGUGUAGCGGUGAAAUGCGUAGAGAUCUGGAGGAAUACCGGUGGCGAAGGCGGCCCCCUGGACGAAGACUGACGC
rnacentral:rRNA from 1 species